ensembl:lncRNA
UUGCUAUGCAGUUGCUAAGGCGUUCUGAGUGUUGCUACUGUAAAUGGUUGUUGGGAUGUUCUAGCUGGUUACCAGGGCGUUUGGUGUUCUGUGUAUAUCCCUUUAGUCUGGCACAAAUCUGGUCUUUAGAUAUGAUAUUUAACAUGCAUGUUCCAUUUUUACAAUGCAGUUUGCCAUAUUUAAUGUGGCUGAAUUGGUUUCAUUUGCCGCAAGUUUUUUUUAUUUUUUUUAUUAUUGUCAUUUUGCUGCAGUAUGGAGAUGUUGAAAGCGCCUGUGAAGUGUCAGGACCCCCGUCGGCCCUCAUUGACGUUCUCUGAAGGGGGUCUGACUCACGUCUGUCAUUCGUAGAUGCUGACAUUUCCACUGGCUGUGUGUCAUGACAGUUUUACUGAAGACUAUUCAUGCCAUGAAUUAUUCAUAAAAACAUCACUGUACGGCAGGCAUGAUUCUGAGGGAUUGGGCAAAUUGAAAUCCUGCUGGCAAAGGUGAAUUAUACAUUAGC